rnacentral:rRNA from 1 species
AUACGUAGGGUGCAAGCGUUAAUCGGAAUUACUGGGCGUAAAGCGUGCGCAGGCGGUUUUGUAAGGCAGAGGUGAAAUCCCCGGGCUCAACCUGGGAACUGCCUUUGUGACUGCAAGGCUAGAGUACGGCAGAGGGGGAUGGAAUUCCGCGUGUAGCAGUGAAAUGCGUAGAUAUGCGGGUGAACACCGAUGGGGAAGGCAAUACCCUGGGGCUGUACUGACGCGCAUGCACGAAAGCGUGGGGAGCAAGCAGGAUUAGAUACCCUGGUAGUCCACGCCCUAAACGAUGUCAACUGGUUGUUGGGGCUUCAUUGACUCGGUAACGAAGCUAACGCGUGAAGUUGACCGCCUGGGGAGGACGGCCGCAAGGUGGAAACUCAAAGGAAUUGACGGGG